CACUCGCUGCGGUAUUUCUACACCGCCAUGUCCCGGCCCGGCCUCGGGGAGCCCCGAUUCAUCUCCGUCGGCUACGUGGACCACACGCAGUUCGUGCGCUACGACAGCGACGCGGAGACUCCGAGGAUGGAGUCGCGGGUGCCGUGGGUGGAGCAGGAGGGGCCGGAGUAUUGGGAGAGGCACACACAGAUCGCCAAGAACCGCGAGCAGGGUUUCCGAGAGAACCUGAGGACCCUGCUCGGCUACUACAACCAGAGCGAGGGCGGGUCGGACGGGCGCCUCCUCCGCGGGUAUGACCAGUACGCCUACAAAGGCCGCGAUUACCUCGCCCUGAACGAGGACCUGACGACUUGGACGGCGGCUGACACAGAGGCUCAGAUCUCCAGAUGCAAGUUUGAGCAGGGUGGGGAGGCAGAGAGAAAGAAGGCCUACCUGGAGGGCCUGUGUGUGCAUUCUCUGCGCAGAUACCUGGAGAACGGGAAGGACUCGCUGCUGCGCACAGAUCCCCCAAAGGCACAUGUGACCCAUCAUCCUGGACCUAAAGGUGAUGUCACCCUGAGGUGCUGGGCCCUGGGCUUCUAUCCUGCCUUCAUCACCCUGACCUGGCAGAGGGAGGAGGAGGAACGGACUCAGGACAUGGAGCUUGUGGAGACCAGACCUUCUGGGGAUGGAAGCUUCCAGAAGUGGGCAUCUCUGGUGGUGCCUUCUGGGGAGGAGCACAAAUACACAUGACAUGUGUACCAUGAGGGGCUGCCUGAGCCCCUCACCCUGAGAUGGGAGCCUCCUCAGUCCAUGGACCCCAUCAUGGCAGUCAUUGCUGGUCUGGCUCUCAUUGGAGUUGUGAUCAUUGGAGCUGUGGUGGUUGUGAGGAAGAGGAGGAGAAACACAGCGUGAAGACAGCUGCCUGGUGUGGAUGGAGUGACAGACGUUGUGUUCAGGUCUCCCCUGUGACAUCCAGAGCCCCCCAGUUCACUCUCAGCAAUAGUGUCUGAUGUUCCCUGUGAUCCUAUGGGCUCAAUGUGAAGAACUGGGGAGCCCAGCCCACCCUGCACACCUGACCCUGUCCCUGCACUGCCCUGUUCCCUUCCACAGCCAACCUUCAUGUUCCUGCAGACAGGAGGGGACAUAUCAAUCCUGUCUCCUCCAUGCUGUCCUGAGCUGCAGUCCUGACUUCCCCACUGAAAAUAAGAAUCUGAAUGUGAACUUGAUUGUCCAUGUCCUUGAUCUCAAAGGUUGAUUGGUGGUAAAAUAAAGGAUUGAGAUAGAGUUUAUGGAGGAAAUAAAUGGCAGCAUGGAGAACCUCCCA